CCGAACGAGCGNAACCCUUAUGACUAGUUGCCAGCAUUUAGUUGGGCACUCUAGUAAGACUGCCGGUGACAAACCGGAGGAAGGUGGGGAUGACGUCAAAUCAUCAUGCCCCUUAUGACCUGGGCUGCACACGUGCUACAAUGGAUGGUACAACGAGUUGCGAGACCGCGAGGUCAAGCUAAUCUCUUAAAGCCAUUCUCAGUUCGGACUGUAGGCUGCAACUCGCCUACACGAAGUCGGAAUCGCUAGUAAUCGCGGAUCAGCACGCCGCGGUGAAUACGUUCCCGGGCCUUGUACACACCGCCCGUCACACCAUGAGAGUUUGUAACACCCGAAGCCGGUGGCGUAACCCUUUUAGGGAGCGAGCCGUCUAAGGUGGGACAAAUGAUUAGGGUGAAGUCGUAACAAGGUAGCCGUAGGAGAACCUGCGGCUGGAUCACCUCCUUUCU
rnacentral:rRNA from 2 species